ensembl:misc_RNA
UUGGCUGCUCUGGAAACUGAAGCCCUCUAGUUAUCCAUAGAAGAGAUACAGCAACAGCAUAAGCUUUCCCAUACCAACAUGCCUAUGUGUCUCAAUCCUGUUCAAAAGGGACUAAGACUGAAAGGGGUAAUUCAGUUUCCAUGUCCAUUCCGUCCUUGGCCUCU